UGUAGCGGUGAAAUGCGUAGAGAUGUGGAGGAAUACCGGUGGCGAAGGCGGCCUUCUGGACAGAUACUGACGCUGAGAUGCGAAAGCGUGGGGAGCAAACAGGAUUAGAUACCCUGGUAGUCCACGCUGUAAACGAUGUCGAUUUGGAGUUUGUUGCCCUGAGUGAUGGGCUCCGAAGCUAACGCGAUAAAUCGACCGCCUGGGGAGUACGGCCGCAAGGUUAAAACUCAAAUGAAUUGACGGGGGCCCGCACAAGCGGUGGAGCAUGUGGUUUAAUUCGAUGCAACGCGAAGAACCUUACCUGGUCUUGACAUCCACAGAAUCUUGCAGAGAUGCGAGAGUGCCUUCGGGAACUGUGAGACAGGUGCUGCAUGGCUGUCGUCAGCUCGUGUUGUGAAAUGUUGGGUUAAGUCCCGCAACGAGCGCAACCCUUAUCCUUUGUUGCCAGCGAUUCGGUCGGGAACUCAAAGGAGACUGCCGUUGAUAAAGCGGAGGAAGGUGGGGACGACGUCAAGUCAUCAUGGCCCUUACGACCAGGGCUACACACGUGCUACAAUGGCGUAUACAAAGGGAGGCGACCUCGCGAGAGCAAGCGGACCUCAUAAAGUACGUCUAAGUCCGGAUUGGAGUCUGCAACUCGACUCCAUGAAGUCGGAAUCGCUAGUAAUCGUGAAUCAGAAUGUCU
rnacentral:rRNA from 1 species